UAGGAGACUGCCGGGGUCAACUCGGAGGAAGGUGGGGACGACGUCAAAUCAUCAUGCCCCUUAUGUCUUGGGCUUCACGCAUGCUACAAUGGCCGGUACAAAGGGUUGCGAUACUGUGAGGUGGAGCUAAUCCCAAAAAGCCGGUCUCAGUUCGGAUUGGGGUCUGCAACUCGACCCCAUGAAGUCGGAGUCGCUAGUAAUCGCAGAUCAGCAACGCUGCGGUGAAUACGUUCCCGGGCCUUGUACACACCGCCCGUCAAGUCACGAAAGUUGGUAACACCCGAAGCCGGUGGCCUAACCCUUGUGGGGGGAGCCGUCGAAGGUGGGACCCGGCGAUUGGGACU
rnacentral:rRNA from 1 species